GUUCUGUCCUUUCGGAACAUCCAAUAAAAUUGGAACGAUUCAGAGAAAAUUAGCAUGAUAUAUACGCCAAAAUGACACAUAUAAAUUAAGAAAGUCUAAAUUCAAAU